AGCAGCAGCCGCGGUAACACGAAGGGUGCAAGCGUUAAUCGGAAUUACUGGGCGUAAAGCGUGCGUAGGCGGUGAGUUAAGUCUGCUGUGAAAUCCCCGGGCUCAACCUGGGAAUGGCAGUGGAUACUGGCUCGCUAGAGUGUGUCAGAGGAUGGUGGAAUUCCCGGUGUAGCGGUGAAAUGCGUAGAGAUCGGGAGGAACAUCAGUGGCGAAGGCGGCCAUCUGGGACAACACUGACGCUGAGGCACGAAAGCGUGGGGAGCAAACAGGAUUAGAUACCCCCGUAGUUCCUGUCUCUUAUAC
rnacentral:rRNA from 1 species